rnacentral:rRNA from 1 species
GAUGAACGCUGGCGGCGUGCUUAACACAUGCAAGUCGAACGGUGAAAGAGAGCUUGCUCUCUGGAUCAGUGGCGAACGGGUGAGUAACACGUGAGCAAUCUGCCCCUGACUCUGGGAUAAGCGCUGGAAACGGCGUCUAAUACCGGAUACGAGCUGCGAAGGCAUCUUCAGCAGCUGGAAAGAACUUCGGUCAGGGAUGAGCUCGCGGCCUAUCAGCUAGUUGGUGAGGUAACGGCUCACCAAGGCGUCGACGGGUAGCCGGCCUGAGAGGGUGACCGGCCACACUGGGACUGAGACACGGCCCAGACUCCUGCGGGAGGCAGCAGUGGGGAAUAUUGCACAAUGGGCGAAAGCCUGAUGCAGCAACGCCGCGUGAGGGACGACGGCCUUCGGGUUGUAAACCUCUUUUAGCAGGGAAGAAGCGAAAGUGACGGUACCUGCAGAAAAAGCGCCGGCUAACUACGUG